rnacentral:tRNA from 1 species
GCGGGCAUCGUCCAACAGUAGGACUGCAGUCUUCCAAACUGACAAUGAGGGUGCGAUUCCCUCUGUCCGCU